rnacentral:lncRNA from 1 species
CUUGGCUUCAAUUUCCGGACUUACAAAGAAAUGCACUGUUAUUGUCUUUAUCCUCCCAGGUGUGACUAAUGACUGCUGGUCAGGCUGGGGUGAAUCGGAUGGCAGAAGACACAGUUCAUUACUACGAGAGAGGAGGAUGACACAAUCUGUGCCCCAGAAAUCUUGCAAUCAAAAGCUGUGAUGUGGGAGAACCAUCAUGCAAAAACAUGCUGAUGCCCUUUGAUUCAUGUAUAUUUUGCUCUAGAUUGCAGAAAUGGUGAUUUGGUGCUACAAAACAUCAUGGCACGGAUGAUUCCCUCCCGCCCCCUGAGGCACUUUAGUGAGGAAGAAGGUGAAGGAGUCUGCUUUAUUUCUGCAAGAGGAUUUUACUUCAAAAGAUGUCACAAUUCACUUCCCAGUAGUAUACAAGAAAGAUGCCAAAAAAUUGCUACAGCUGUGUGCUACUUGGCAUAUCUUGCAUUUGCAGCAUUGUGCGAAGAGUGGAAAGAUAGUCGAGGAAAGUUAUGUAUCAAAUCAUCCCAUGUCAUAAUGCAAGAAGUCCCUUAUCUACAACAAGUUCUAAGUAUUUGAGGCUGUGAAUAUCCCAGUCAGUUUAGGAAAAAUAUAGCUAAAAUAAAACUGAGUGUCUUGUACUAUUUUUCA